GAUGAACGCUAGCGGCAGGCUUAAUACAUGCAAGUCGUGGGGCAGCAGGUUUGUAGCAAUACAGAUGCUGGCGACCGGCAAACGGGUGCGGAACACGUACAGAACCUUCCUUUGAGCGGGGAAUAGCCCAGAGAAAUUUGGAUUAAUACCCCAUAGUAUAAUGAAGUGGCAUCACUUUAUUAUUAAAGAUUAUCACUCGAAGAUGGCUGUGCGGCUGAUUAGGUAGUUGGCGGGGUAAAGGGCCCACCAAGCCUGCGAUCAGUAAACUGGUGUGAGAGCACGACCAGUCACACGGGCGACUGAGACACGGGCCCGGACCUCCUACGGGA
rnacentral:rRNA from 1 species